rnacentral:piRNA from 1 species
UGUUCUGCCUAUAUUUUCCAA